rnacentral:tRNA from 1 species
GGUCCCUUAGCUUAACUGAAUAGAGCAUCUGACUACGGAUCAGAAGGUUACAGGUUUGAAUCCUGUAGGGAUCA